rnacentral:misc_RNA from 1 species
UCGUAACAAAAUGUGCUAGGCAUGCUUCCGGCUGUCGCUGACUCGAAAGGUCGUGCACGCGGGAGCGUGUCCUCUCACAUAACACAAUCCAUCUCACCCUUUGUGCACCACCGCGUGGGCCCCCCCUUUGCGGGGAGGGGCCUGCGUUUCCACAUAAAACUCGAUACAGUGUAGAAUGUCUAUUUUUGCGGUCACACGCAAUCAAUA